AGAAAUGGUCUAUUUCCUCCAUCCCCCAAUUUUUCCCAAUCUUAUUUAUUUAACUACUAUACAAAACUUGAGUUUCCUCUCUCUCUGAGGCCAUCUACGUCAUCUUUAAGAUCUAAAGUUCUGAACCAAUGAAAAAAGAAAACAUGUUGCAUAAUGCUUUUUUAUUUUUUGACAUUAACGCCCUCAAUUCUCAUUCGUUGCAU